AACGCGAAGAACCUUACCAAGGCUUGACAUAUACGAGAGCGCUGCAGAAAUGCAGAACUCUUUGGACACUCGUAAACAGGUGGUGCAUGGUUGUCGUCAGCUCGUGUCGUGAGAUGUUGGGUUAAGUCCCGCAACGAGCGCAACCCUCGUUCUAUGUUGCCAGCACGUAAUGGUGGGAACUCGUGGGAUACUGCCGGGGUCAACUCGGAGGAAGGUGGGGAUGACGUCAAAUCAUCAUGCCCCUUAUGUCUUGGGCUUCACGCAUGCUACAAUGGCCGGUACAAAGGGCUGCAAUACCGUAAGGUGGAGCGAAUCCCAAAAAGCCGGUCCCAGUUCGGAUUGAGGUCUGCAACUCGACCUCAUGAAGUCGGAGUCGCUAGUAAUCGCAGAUCAGCAACGCUGCGGUGAAUACGUUCCCGGGUCUUGUACACACCG
rnacentral:rRNA from 1 species